rnacentral:rRNA from 1 species
GAUGAACGCUGGCGGCGUGCCUAAUACAUGCAAGUCGAGCGAACGGACGAGAAGCUUGCUUUUCUGAUGUUAGCGGCGGACGGGUGAGUAACACGUGGAUAACCUACCUAUAAGACUGGGAUAACUUCGGGAAACCGGAGCUAAUACCGGAUAAUAUUUUGAACCGCAUGGUUCAAAAGUGAAAGACGGUCUUGCUGUCACUUAUAGAUGGAUCCGCGCUGCAUUAGCUAGUUGGUAAGGUAACGGCUUACCAAGGCAACGAUGCAUAGCCGACCUGAGAGGGUGAAGGGCCACACUGAAACUGAGACCCGGUCCAGACUCCUACGGGAGGCAGCAGUGGGGAAUCUUCCGCAAUGGGCGAAAGCCUGACGAAGCAACGCCGCGUGAGUGAUGAAGGUCUUCGGAUCGUAAAACUCUGUUAUUGGGGAAGAACAUAUGUGUAAGUAACUGUGCACAUCUUGACGGUACCUAAUCAGAAGGCCACGGCUAACUACGU